GAUGAACGCUGGCGGCGUGCCUAAUACAUGCAAGUCGAGCGAACAGACGAGGAGCUUGCUCCUCUGACGUUAGCGGCGGACGGGUGAGUAACACGUGGAUAACCUACCUAUAAGACUGGGAUAACUUCGGAAACCGGAGCUAAUACCGGAUAAUAUAUUGAACCGCAUGGUUCAAUAGUGAAAGACGGUUUUGCUGUCACUUAUAGAUGGAUCCGCGCCGCAUUAGCUAGUUGGUAAGGUAACGGCUUACCAAGGCGACGAUGCGUAGCCGACCUGAGAGGGUGAUCGGCCACACUGGAACUGAGACACGGUCCAGACUCCUACGGGAGGCAGCAGUAGGGAAUCUUCCGCAAUGGGCGAAAGCCUGACGGAGCAACGCCGCGUGAGUGAUGAAGGUCUUCGGAUCGUAAAACUCUGUUAUUAGGGAAGAACAAAUGUGUAAGUAACUAUGCACGUCUUGACGGUACCUAAUCAGAAAGCCACGGCUAACUACG
rnacentral:rRNA from 1 species